UACGGAGGGUGCGAGCGUUGUCCGGAAUCACUGGGCGUAAAGGGCGCGUAGGUGGCCUGUGGAAGUCUGCGGUGAAAGCCCGGCGCUCAACGCCGGGUCGGCCGUGGAUACUCUCGGGCUCGAGCUUACUAGAGGCAGAUGGAAUUCCGGGUGUAGCGGAUGGAAUGCGUAGAGAUCGGAAGAACACCGGUGGCGAAGGCGGUCUGCUGGGGUAAUGCUGACACUGAUGCGCGACAGCGUGGGGAGCAAACAGG
rnacentral:rRNA from 1 species